AACGGCCAUAUCACGUUGAAACACCGGUUCUCCUACGAUCACCAAAGUUAAGAUCGUGCCUGGUCAGUAUUUAGAUGGGUGACCGGUUGAGAAUAGGGGGUGUUAUAA